rnacentral:rRNA from 1 species
UACGUAGGGCGCAAGCGUUAUCCGGAAUUAUUGGGCGUAAAGAGCUCGUAGGCGGUCUGUCGCGUCGGAUGUGAAAACCCAGGGCUCAACCCUGGGCCUGCAUUCGAUACGGGCAGACUAGAGUUCGGUAGGGGAGACUGGAAUUCCUGGUGUAGCGGUGAAAUGCGCAGAUAUCAGGAGGAACACCGGUGGCGAAGGCGGGUCUCUGGGCCGAAACUGACGCUGAGGAGCGAAAGCGUGGGGAGCAAACAGG